GCACACACGACAGUCGCGCAGCAAGCGUUCACAUGAGCAGGCAGAGGCAGCCAUUGCCACUGUACGGUUUUCAUAUGCAGGUUAACCUAACACGCGCACACUGGAAAUCUAGAUAUUUGAGAAGAGAAUUAAAUAAUGAUAACCGUUCACAAUGAACACGGAGAAGCUACCUAAUGAUACAGGGAGAAAUGAACUCUAAAACUUAAAAACGAAUUUUUAAAUCUCGUUUCCGGCUGGACUGGGCAGAUGAAAACACAUCUUUGAAUGAACCAAAUGAGCGCAAUUAGCAGUUGAGGUUGAGGUUGAGACACAAUUGUAUUUGAUAGUGAAGUUAAACUAUCAGAAAAUAGUAACAAAGCGAAAAAAGGGAAGUGUUAGAUACAGCAGCGCCUAAACUGUAGCUCUGUUUCGUUAGUAUUCCUAAACUCCAAUGGAGUCGACUUCCUCCCGUGUACUAUAAGGCGUACAUGGCAGUUUUUUAACAACUGAGUAGAAUGGUUCUUAAGAAAUGUGAAGCAUAGCUAGUAGUGUUACAGACACACUUACCUCAUCAUCCGGUCGACCUCGUUUUUCCAACAAAAUACGCUUUUCCAUGAUGAUAUUCGGUGAUGAUGGUGUUGAGUAUUUCACUUAGAGAUAAGUCACUCCACGCAGUGCUCCUCCAGGUCCUUCGAAAACUCUUUGUUGUGUCACUGGAUUACUUUUGUCUUUAGGCACGAAUUUUAUAUAUUGAUUUCCUGCAAGUGGUACAAAAAAAGCACACAAUUAAUAUAUUUGUAUUUACGUUGACACAAUCAGUCUAAUUAAACCGAUCUUUCUUAAAAGGUA